rnacentral:lncRNA from 1 species
GCUGAACAGGCCAUCAGGCAGCCUGCCAUGGGGCCCUGCUCCAAGAACAGGUCCUUCUGCCGGGCAACUGUGCUCCUGGUAUUCAUCAGCCUCCUCCUCACACUGUUCUAGGAAAAACCCCGGAAAGAAACAGGAGGGGCCCAUCAAUUCAGGAACAAUUGAACAAGCUGAGGAGUAUCUGUUCCAUGGCAUAUGACAGAAGCUUACAAAAGCAAAUGUUCUAGUUAUCUGAAAGGAAUGUUCAGCUUCCAUGAGGACUCAUCCUUGGACCCAGGAGACGACGCCUGAGAGGGGCGGCUGCUGCAG